UACAGAGGGUGCGAGCGUUGUCCGGAAUCACUGGGCGUAAAGGGCGCGUAGGCGGUGACUUAAGCGUGUGGUGAAAGCUCGGGGCUCAACCCCGAGUCGGCCGUGCGAACUGGGUCACUGGAGCAUGUCAGAGGCAGGCGGAAUUCCGGGUGUAGCGGUGGAAUGCGUAGAGAUCCGGAAGAACACCGGUGGCGAAGGCGGCCUGCUGGGAUCUUGCUGACGCUGAAGCGCGACAGCGUGGGGAGCAAACAGG
rnacentral:rRNA from 1 species